AUGAGCCAUACAAUGAAGCUAUGGGAGAGAGUCAUUGAGCACCGCUUAAGAAGAAUGACAAGCGUGACCAAAAAUCAGUUUGGUUUCAUGCCUGGGAGGUCGACCAUGGAAGCCAUUUUCUUGGUACGACAACUUAUGGAGAGAUAUAGGGAGCAUAAGAAGGACUUGCAUAUGGUGUUCAUUGACUUGGAGAAGGCCUAUGAUAAGAUACCGCGGAAUGUCAUGUGGUGGGCCUUGGAGAAACACAAAGUCCCAGCAAAGUACAUUACCCUCAUCAAGGACAUAUACAAUAAUGUUGUGACAAGUGUUCGAACAAGUGAUGUCAACACCGAUGACUUCCCGAUUAAGAUAGGACUGCAUCAGGGGUCAGCUUUGAGCCCUUAUCUUUUUGCAUUGGUGAUGGAUGAGGUCACAAGGGGUAUACAAGGAGAUAUCCCAUGGUGCAUGCUCUUUGCGGAUGAUGUGGUGCUAGUUGACGAUAGUCGGACGAGGGUAAAUAGGAAGUUAGAGUUAUGGAGACAAACCUUGGAAUCGAAAGGGUUUAGGCUUAGUAGAACUAAAACCGAGUACAUGAUGUGCGGUUUCAAUACUACUAGCUGUGAGGAGGAGGAGGUUAGCCUUGAUGGCCAGGUGGUACCUCGGAAGGACACCUUUCGGUAUUUGGGGUCAAUGUUGCAGGAGGAUGGGGGUAUUGAUGAAGAUGUGAACCAUCGAAUCAAAGCCGGAUGGAUGAAGUGGCGCCAAGCUUCUGGCAUUCUCUGUGACAAGAGAGUGCCACAAAAGCUAAAAGGCAAGUUCUACAGGACGGCGGUUCGACCCGCAAUGUUGUAUGGCGCGGAGUGUUGGCCGACUAAAAGGCGACAUGUUCAACAGUUAGGUGUGGCGGAGAUGCGUAUGUUGAGAUGGAUGUGUGACCACACGAGGAAGGAUCGAGUCCGGAAUGAUGAUAUACGAGAUAGAGUUGGGGUAGCACCAAUUGAGGAGAAGCUUGUCCAA
rnacentral:rRNA from 1 species